GUGCCAGCAGCCGCGGUAAUACGUAGGGUCCAAGCGUUAAUCGGAAUUACUGGGCGUAAAGCGUGCGCAGGCGGUUGUGCAAGACCGAUGUGAAAUCCCCGGGCUUAACCUGGGAAUUGCAUUGGUGACUGCACGGCUAGAGUGUGUCAGAGGGGGGGUAGAAUCCACGUGUAGCAGUGAAAUGCGUAGAGAUGUGGAGGAAUACCGAUGGCGAAGGCAGCCCCCUGGGAUAACACUGACGCUCAUGCACGAAAGCGUGGGGAGCAAACAGGAUUAGAUACCCUGGUAGUCCACGCCCUAAACGAUGUCAACUAGUUGUUGGGGAUUCAUUUCCUUAGUAACGUAGCUAACGCGUGAAGUUGACCGCCUGGGGAUACGGUCGCAAGAUUAAAACUACAGGAAUUGACGG
rnacentral:rRNA from 1 species